CCAGAAAAACAAAGGGACCUGGAUAAACCCGGUGCUUCAAAGGGAAACAAAAAAAAGAAAUAAAGCUGGAAAAUAACUGUCAAUGACUGUCAAUGCAAAAGGAUGUGCUACAGUUUCCCAUGUACAGGAGCUCUGUGCUGAACUCAGAUGUUGCUGGAUAAUACCCAGCAUAUUCCAACAUAUAAUUGAGGGAUCUGUAAUUCAGAAACAAGAAACAAUUGACAUGGCCAGGAAGCAAAAAGAACAAAGUUCUUCACUGAUAGAGUACGGUGUACAAAAGCUCUGGCAAUUCUCAAAGCAACAGACAUAGAGCUGAAUAUUAGGAUGAACCUGCCAUGUGGGCACUGGCUGAAAGGUUUUCAGAUUUGCCAAGUAACAUGGGUGGGUGCAGCUGAAGAAGCUUUGCCUCAUCGUCCCCUGGAUCAUGUAUUCAUCAGCUGUCUUCCUUGGCCGGUGUGGUAAAGCCCAGCAGCCAAAUCGACUCUGCAUGCUGUCUGCUUUCCAUCCUAAAGUCAAGCGGAACUUCUGUUUUUCUUUACACCCUCCCCUGAAUUAAAGUCAACAAGGCUGGUCAGUUGCAAGAGCCAAUAUUUAUUUGGUGUAAUCCUUUACCUUUGAUUAUUAAGUUUAACGCAAGGGGACUAUUACAUUCCUGGAAUUAUGCUUAAAAUGCUGCCUGGUGCCAACAUCAGGGAGGUCAUCUAACAAAUGUUGGAGAGAACACGGUGCAUUCGCUAAUUCAGUUAGUUAAAUUGGUCACUCUCCAAAGAAACCAUUUAAAAAGCAGCAGAAAUGUUUAAAGAAAACUUUUCAGCUUUUAUAGAAGGAAUAAUAUUUUGCACUUCUUUUAUACAUAGUUUAUUCUGUAUGCUAUAGCCUGGGAUUUUAGUGAUUUUCAGACUUUUCUGGUACUGUGCCCACCCACCCUUCAACAGGGUUACAGGUAUAUUUUAUCAGUUAUCUUUCUGUAGAAUAUCUAGGACAACAAACCUCACUACUAACUGACUUCCAAGCUGGGCUUCUAAUAAUAUAAUAAUAUAGGGAGUAUUCAUUUCUAUUCUUGCCCCUAUUGGCAGCCUUAUUGGGAACUUUGUGGAA